rnacentral:rRNA from 1 species
GACAGAGGGGGCAAGCGUUGCUCGGAAUUACUGGGCGUAAAGGGCGCGUAGGCGGGAUGGCAAGUCGGUCGUGAAAUCCCUCGGCUCAACCGAGGAACGUCGAUCGAUACUGCUGUUCUUGAGGAUUGCAGAGGAGACUGGAAUUCCCGGUGUAGCGGUGAAAUGUGUAGAUAUCAGGAGGAACACCGAUGGCGAAGGCAGGUCUCUGGGCCACUACUGACGCUGAGGAGCGAAAGCGUGGGGAGCGAACAGG